GAAAAAAACCCAAAAACAACCUCCUCAAAAUUUGAGACUUCACAACUGCUUAAAACCUUAGCAAAUACCACAGUAUGUGUAUACUUUAAAUGUCAGCCAUAUUAUCUUUUCUGAGGAGUUUUUGCAGGAGAGAGUGAAGAAUAUCAAUCGAGUGCAGCCCAGUGACCUGUUACUCAUUGAGUUUAUUAGCAGAUGUGUGUACAGCUUUAAACCAGUGGCAGAGAUGACUGCUUUGGGAAGAACCUCCUUGAACCACGGGAAGUAUUUUAAGCAUGAAGAGCCUCCUGUCAUUUUGCCUUUUUUAAUUUGGCUUCAUUGACUUGUAAAUGAAACUUGGUCUCCUUCCAGGGGGCAAUAACCAUAGAAGGGGAGGAAAAAAAAAGGAAAAGAAAAUGAGUUCAAUAUUCUAUACUGGAAUUUCAAUGAACCUCUUCCUAGAGACAAAAUCUUUGGAGUUUUUUAUGCUUUAAGAUAAGAAAGAAUGGUAAAUAAAACGGAACACAAUUAGUAUGUGAAA